rfam:Erythrobacter sp. KA37 contig1, whole genome shotgun sequence.
AGGACCGGCGACGUCACGGGUGUCGGGCUGUGCGCAAGCGCGGCCGGACCGAAUAGGGAAGGGGGUUCGAAGCCUCCGCUGCCCCCGCAACUGUGACCGGGGAGCGACCCGCUCUCAUGCCACUGUCCACUUCCGAGUCAUUCGGCUGGGCGGGAAGGCGAGCGGGGAGCCGUGAUCCGGGAGCCAGGAGACCUGCCUGCGACGGUCGUUCUGC